rnacentral:rRNA from 1 species
AACGAACGCUGGCGGCGCGCCUAACACAUGCAAGUCGAGCGAGAAUCCGGGGCAACCCGGUAGUAAAGUGGCAAACGGGUGAGGAAUACAUGGGUAACCUACCCUUGAGAAGGGAAUAACCCGCCGAAAGGUGAGCUAAUACCCUAUACGCUAUCUUUUUUUCGAAAAGGAUAGGAAAGCCGGGUCGAGGACCUGGUACUCAAGGAGGGGCUCAUGUCCUAUCAGCUUGUUGGUGGGGUAACGGCCUACCAAGGCUACGACGGGUAGCUGGUCUGAGAGGAUGAUCAGCCACACUGGCACUGAGAUACGGGCCAGACUCCUACGGGAGGCAGCAGUGAGGAAUAUUGCGCAAUGGGCGAAAGCCUGACGCAGCGACGCCGCGUGGGGGAUGAAGGUUUUCGGAUUGUAAACCCUUUCAUGAGGAAGAUAAAGUGGGUAACCACUUAGACGGUACCUCAAGAAGAAGCCACGGCUAACUCGUG